rnacentral:lncRNA from 1 species
AGCACUGAUCCUCCGGGUCACCGCCGACUAGCUGCUGGGCCUCUCGGGCGGCCGGCGGGCCUGCUGCUCCUCCCGUCGGGGUUCGCGGGGUACGCGGGCGGGCAGGGACAGGCUGGAGACGGCUGCCAGGUGACCGAGGACGGCCUGGGGCCCUGCAGGAGAGCUGCCGGAGGGAGCUUGACGGGAGCCGGGCCCACGGCUCUGGAGACACUGGCAUCGCCUGGCAGCGGAGGGGCCCACGCGUCUGCAGCGGCGGGACGGGGAGGACACGGCCUGGGGGUGAUGAGGGCCCGGCAGAGGGCGCGGGGCAGAGGCUCGGCUGCCGGCCAGGCCCAGCUCAGGGACACGCGGGCCGGAGAGGGCUGGAGGGGGCAAGGAGCGGGCCUCGGGGGCCAGCGUGAGGCGAGGCCAGGCGGCGGGCGGCGUGGGAGGCCUCGGUGCGGGAGGCGGCCUGCAGCCAGGCCUGGCCCUCCGGGUCCUGGGGCCCGCGGGGUGAGCGCCCGCCCUGCCGGCGUCCUGGGCCCUGGAGCGCGGCCUCCGUCCCGGCCCCUGCUGCACUUCUGACUGCGCCGCCCUUGCCCAGGUGCUCCUUCCCCGCUGACCUUGACGGCCCCUCAGGCCCCACCGACUUGAGAGAGGUCCCUCUGACCCCGUGGAACGGGCCCGGCACACAGAGGGGUCCUUGGAGCAGCCUGACGCAGCCCCAGCACUUGCUACGGUUUGGACUCACACAUUCAUGCCUUCGACGGUGGCCUCCGCCUGUCCCCUGGUCGAGUCCGCGGCAGAAUCGAGACAGGGCCUGGCGCGGCUCUGCACCCCACGAGGCACCCGGCCUCACAGCCGUCGACCACUGUAUAUUUUUUGAAUGAAAGAAUUAUUUCAAAACCAUGCACUUAGGGCAGCCCGGGUGGCUCCGUGGUUUAGCGCCACCUUGGGCCCAGGUCGUGACCCCGGAGUCCCGGGAUCGAGUCCCGCGUCGGGCUCCCUGCAUGGAGCCUGCUUCUCCCUCUGCCCGGGUCUCUGCCUCUCUCUGUCUCUCUCUGUGUCUCUCAUGAAUAAAUAAAUAAAAUUAAAAAAAACCCCA